rnacentral:rRNA from 1 species
AACGAACGCUGGCGGCGUGCCUAACACAUGCAAGUCGAACGGAAUGAGGGGCUUGCUCCUCAUUUAGUGGCGCACGGGUGAGUAACGCGUAGAUAAUCUGCCUGAUGAUCUGGGAUAACAUUUCGAAAGAGGUGCUAAUACCGGAUAAGCCCACGACGGCUUCGGUCGACGCGGGAAAAGCAGGGGAUCGCAAGACCUUGUGCCAAUAGAAUAGCCUACAUCCGAUUAGCUAGGUGGUAGAGUAAAAGCCUACCAAGGCAAAGAUCGGUAGCUGGUCUGAGAGGAUGAUCAGUCACACUGGAACUGAGACACGGUCCAGACUCCUACGGGAGGCAGCAGUGGGGAAUCUUGGACAAUGGGCGAAAGCCUGAUCCAGCAAUGCCGCGUGGGUGAAGAAGGCCUUCGGGUUGUAAAGCCCUUUCGGAUAGAAAGAAAACUCUUACUCUAACAUAGUGAGAGAAUGACGGUACUGUCAGAAGAAGCACCGGCUAACUACGUGCCAGCCGCCGCUGUAAAAC